UACGUAGGGGCCGAGCGUUGUCCGGAGUUAUUGGGCGUAAAGCGCGCGCAGGCGGCUUCGCGCGCCCGACGUGAAAGCCCCCGGCUUAACCGGGGAGAGUCGUUGGGGACGGCGGAGCUUGAGGGCGGGAGAGGGCGGUGGAAUUCCCGGUGUAGUGGUGAAAUGCGUAGAGAUCGGGAGGAACACCUGUGGCGAAGGCGGCCGCCUGGGCCGACCCUGACGCUGAGGCGCGAAGGCGUGGGGAGCGAACGGG
rnacentral:rRNA from 1 species